GAUGAAGAACGCAGCGAAAUGCGAUACGUAAUGUGAAUUGCAGAAUUCAGUGAAUCAUCGAAUCUUUGAACGCAUAUUGCGCUCUCUGGUAUUCCGGAGAGCAUGCUUGUUUGAGUAUCAGUAAACACCUCAACUUCCAUAUCUUUUUUGAAAUGGGAGUUGGACUUGAGUGAUCCCAACGCUUUUCCUCACCGAAAAGUGGCGGGUUACUUGAAAUGCAGGUGCAGCUGGACUUUUCUCUGAGCUAUAAGCAUAUCUAUUUAGUCUGCCUAAAAAACAGAUUAUUACCUUUGCUGCAGCUAACAUAAAGGAGAUUAGUUCUUGUGCUGACUGAUGCAGGAUUCACAAAGACAGGCUUCGGCCGACUUUGUAAACUCGAUCUCAAAUCAAGUAAGACUACCCGCUGAACUUAAGAAUAUCAAUAAGCGGAGGA
rnacentral:misc_RNA from 1 species